AUUGAACGCUGGCGGCAGGCCUAACACAUGCAAGUCGAGCGGAUGAAGGGAGCUUGCUCCUGGAUUCAGCGGCGGACGGGUGAGUAAUGCCUAGGAAUCUGCCUGGUAGUGGGGGAUAACGUCCGGAAACGGGCGCUAAUACCGCAUACGUCCUGAUGGAGAAAGUGGGGGAUCUUCGGACCUCACGCUAUCAGAUGAGCCUAGGUCGGAUUAGCUAGUUGGUGGGGUAAAGGCCUACCAAGGCGACGAUCCGUAACUGGUCUGAGAGGAUGAUCAGUCACACUGGAACUGAGACACGGUCCAGACUCCUACGGGAGGCAGCAGUGGGGAAUAUUGGACAAUGGGCGAAAGCCUGAUCCAGCCAUGCCGCGUGUGUGAAGAAGGUCUUCGGAUCGUAAAGCACUUUAAGUUGGGAGGAAGGGCAGUAAGUUAAUACCUUGCUGUUUUGACGUUACCAACAGAAUAAGCACCGGCUAACUUCGUG
rnacentral:rRNA from 1 species